rnacentral:lncRNA from 1 species
CGGCGCAGACACAGCUCUGCCACCACCACACAGCCAGGCUCACAGCGACCACAGGAGUCUAGCAGAGGCGCCUGCCCGCGGCCGGCCUGGCAGCCCCAGUGCUAGUGCCAACGCUAAGAAAACGUCCUCGCUGUGCGAGCAAAGGGGGUGCUGAUGGCCACGCGGCUUCAUGUCCCACAGCCGCCCGGUGCAGUCACAAUUUCAUUGUUAGAGGAAAGUCAGCGCAUGCACUCUGUUAAAGACACGCAGGCAGCAAGACCGGCACUCAUUUAGCCACGCGGUCCUUUCUCGUGGUCAGCUGGGGUCGGCACAGGGCGUGGACGGAGAAGAAGGUGCCUGCAGGCAGCAAAGCUGGCCCGGGCUCUGCGGAGACGCACCUGCUGACCUGCCGCCGGCCGCUCCCAGAAUAGCUCUCCUAGUCCAGCCGACCCCAGCCUCGAAGGUGUCUCGUGUACUAAGAUGCUACAGGACAUGUUUUCAUCACUUUCCUCAAUGAAAUUGCAAAUGACUGACAGCCAGGACUCCAGCAAUGACAAUGCACCAGAUCGCUGACUUCGUCUACUCUUUCUUCCUGGCACAGAUCACGUAUCUUAACCGUGACCCCACCCCAAAGUGCUUUAAAACCAACACCUAUCCAUUAUCUUUAACCAGGGCCUGGGGAACAGUCGAGUCAGAACCUGAGGGGUGGCCGGAACUCCUACUCAAACCCCGCCUCUAAAAGCAUGUUGCUGGUUCUAAUUGAACUAGGGCUGCCUCAGCGACACACACGGCAGUCCAUGAAGGAAACCCCGCUGUGAAAAGGUAAGGCAACAGGUUCGUGAACAUCCCACAAAAAACAGAACGUACCUUUCCAUUCCACAGCUUUAUCAAAAACACCUGGACCAAGGGCGGAACGUGUGGACAGGAAAAGAAAUGCCACGUUACGCAACACCAGCUCCGCUAGCAUCAGUCAAACCCAGCGACUCGGGCAACCACUCCCCUCACACACCCAACAACACCGCCGCGUGUCCAACCACUCCCCUCACACACCCAACAACACCGCCACGUGUCCAACCACUCCCCUCUCACACCCAACAACAACACCGCCGCGUGUCCAACCACUCCCCUCACACACCCAACAACACUGCCACGUGUCCAACCACUCCCCUCUCACACCCAACAACACCGCCACGUGUCCAACCACUCCCCUCUCACACCGCAACAACACCGCCACGUGUCCAACCACUCCCCUCUCACACCCAACAACACUGCCGCGUGUCCAACCACUCCCCUCUCACACCGCAACAACACCGCCGCGUGUCCAACCACUCCCCUCUCACACCCAACAACACCGCCACGUGUCCAACCACUCCCCUCACACACCCAACAACACCGCCGCGUGUCCAACCACUCCCCUCACACACCCAACAACACCGCCGCGUGUCCAACCACUCCCCUCACACCCAACAACACCGCCACGUGUCCAACCACUCCCCUCUCACACCCAACACCGCCGCGUGUCCAACCACUCCCCUCACACACCCAACAACACCGCCGCGUGUCCAACCACUCCCCUCUCACACCCAACAACACCGCCACGUGUCCAACCACUCCCCUCUCACACCGCAACAACAACAUCGCCGCGUGUCGGGUGCGGGUGCAGGUGUGGUCUGUGUGUUUCUAUCUCACUCAGUAUAG